AAAAAAAAAUCCUUAAUGCUAACACGAUGCAACUCCGGUAAGCCUCUCGUCCUCUCUUAUAUUUUGUAUUUGUGUCGAAUGAAAGAAGAAAAAUAGAAUAAAAAAAACUGUAACAAGUAAUAUUUUUUUUUAUUUUAUCUUCAAAAAUCCAUACCCGUUUCUCUUGAAAACAAAGGAAAAAAGAAAGCCCCUAUUUACAAACGGUUCUCCCCUAAAAUACGAUCGAUUCUUUCCCAAAAUACCAUCGAUCCCCCCUUACAAAUGAUAGAUUUUGGCUUUUUAAAGCCGAUCUAUGAAACAUUCAUCUCCUAUUUUUUGUUUUCGUUCUUUUGUUUAUUCUUUCCCCCAUCCCUCGCAUGCUUUCUCUGGCUGUUGUUUUUGUCCCUGUUGCAGGUGUGUCAGGUGUGGGUGGUGCACAUGAUGGCCAAGGGCAGAGGGGGCAUGCAGCUGAACUUUGGUGGCUGCAUCUUGGGGAAGGGUUUACUGCUGAAAAAAAACCUUAAGCAAGUGGGUUAUUAUUUGGGCUAUAGGGUUGAUGUAAAUUGGGCUGUUUAAUAUUAUAAAUGGGCUAUUUAUUUGGUUAUGUUUGGGUUUGGUUUUAUUAGGCCCCGAGCAAAAUUUGGGUUUUACAUAAUAAUUAUCUUUUAGUAAGCGUAAUGUUUAAAUCCUCAACGUGUC
rnacentral:lncRNA from 1 species